AAUGUCUGUGACCAUUAAAGUUUACUAAAGUAUGCCACCUAGAGGUCUCUGAUAGAGCAAAAACAACAGUUCAGGGUCCUCAGAGAAGCGCCACAGCAGCAUCACUCUGUCUUUUGUCUCAGCUGUACGUGAUCCUAGUCAAAACUCACCUUUCUGCGUGAAGUUUUCCAGCUGGUGCUGCUUCUUUGAAUACCUGUUUGCACUGGGAGGCCACUAGAUGUGGUUCAGAGGAAGCCUGCCAAAAUUUCAGAACUCUGCAUCUUCUCCUUGAGGGCAGACCACUCUCCUAGUGGCCUCUGGAAGCCUGUAUCGAGAUCAAAACUUUGUAAUUCACUUUGCUACAUGGUGAAAUAAGACGUGUUUUUUCUCUUCCCACUCUCCAGAGUUGCUGUCCUUUACUGCCUUUUAGAGGUGAUUAUCACUCCAUUGCUGGCUUCCGGAUUCCAUCCUCCCUCUGAUCCAAGAUCUGUCCUCUCUGGUCUGAAACACUGAUAUCACAGAAGAAAUCAGUUUUUCUGGUUCAGGCUAUUCAGAACUGUUGUUCUUGAGCAAAACAGCCAAAAUAAGAAGAAAGUCUCAAUGCACAAGGAUACUGAGUUGCUCAAGCAUGUGCAAAAAAAGACCAAUGAAGCUGGUGAAGUGACUAGUAAACAAGAUUUAUGAGGAGUGGCUCAGGACACGUGGACUGCUCCACCCUGUAGUGAGAAACACGUCUUUGGUGACACGGGUCCGCAAGCAGUCUGCUUCAAAACUGCAGGUUGAUUAAAAAAGAAAAAAAAACCUACAAUGUUCACACUGCAGGAGUAUCUGUUCUUAAAACCAUUUACAAUAAAGAGGAAACAAAAUAAAAAUAUUGAGAAUGAAGUGGAAAAAUAAAGUAUGUGAUAUGGAGAAGUCAAUUUCGUUAAGAGAUCUGAAGAAAGAGAUGAGAGUAGAAAGGUGAGUAUUUAAAUAUACAAAAUCAAAGCAUAUAAAGAACUACAGAGCCAAAUAGAGGUGAUUUUAAAAAUAAAAUAAAAAUUCUGAUGAGUAAUUUAAAGAGAUUAAAGGCAGAUCUAUCACUCUUCCUGAUAGUGAUUGUUAAACCCUUCUUCUUAUCUAUCUAUCUACUUAUUUAUUUAUUUAUAAUUGAAGACUUUCUGUGGCAAUACUGUAUUCCCUUUAACCAAAUCUCUAUUCCCUUGGUUACUGAUAGAUCCUGAAACAUCAUUAAAGCUUUCUGUAACUCACAAACUUGUUUCUUACAAGUAGAGUUUCCUCACAAGAAUAGUGGUCUGAAAUUCCUAGAGGAAAUGCUUCAUAUAGUUAAAUGGGCUUUGUGUAUCAAAUAAAAUAAUUUGAGGCUCAGAAAAUCUCUCCCUUAACAAAAUUUCCUCUACUCCUACUUUAUCUGAGGUUUGAAGAAAGCAGUCAGACAAAGCAGUUUUAAACUGGUGAUGGACAAAUGAAAAAUUUUAACAUAAAAAGGAAAAGCAUUUAUUUAUGCCCCAAUGGUAGUAAGUAUUGUUAAACUAUGUUAAAGAGUAAUAAAAAUACUCUAUUGUUCCACAUCAUUUUGAGUCCAACAGUGUCAAAAUGUAUAACUGUCAUUAGUAAAAGUAUACAACAUUUCCCUUAUGUAGAAAAUCUGUGUUCUUAUUUUAGAGAUGUGGAUGAUAAAGGAGAACAGGGUAGUGUAACUGUCCCAAGUUCAAAUGCAGUAAGUCUGUGGCAAUGGCAGAAGCCAAAUAAAAAUCAAUGAAAAACAAAACAAAAAAAUGUCUGUAUUUCAACCAGAACACCAGACACUGGCUUUGUUUCCAAUGAUAAAGUAUACACAUUAUGCUAUGUGUAUCAUCUACCAAUAAUUGACAUAAAGAAAUACAAUAAGGUAGGUUAAUAUUUUUGUCAUUGUCCUCAUCAGUCUGCUCUAAUCUUGUCUGCAACAGAACGUGUAAAGAAAAGAGAAGAUGGAUGGGUGUCUUACUUUCAUUAUACCCAUUUUUUGAUUUUAAAUUUCUUUAAAAUCUGAGGUAAAAGUGCUGGAUAGUAAAUCCCAACCAGAAAGAUUUUAUCAGGUCUCUGUAUAACAAGCACUGUCUUACAAUCUUAAAAUGUCACAGCUGCAUAAACUUUUUCCGUAUUCCUGUUCUCUAAAUCCUUUGUAAACCCGUUAGGAUUUUCAAAAGAAUUUAUUUCUUGAAACCACUGCAUAGAGAAGGUAUAACCAAUUUCUUCAUUUCCAGGGUGUUGUAAACUGAGGUAAUUUCUGGAGUGAACUUUUAUGAAAAAUGUGUUAAAGUGUGGAAUUUACAUAAUAAUUUACUAGAGAUAAAAAAUGCCCAAAUAUACAGUUGUGUUACUUUAAAUUUUUAAAGUACACUAAAGAAUGUAACAGCUGACUGGCUUUAAAUCUUAAUGGAAACAACAUUUCUGGAUGCUUAGAGCCUUCACUGUUCCAUUUCAGCUAAAUACAGGAUUACUUGAGCUGUAUUAUAUCCUCCAUCGGAUUUUCAGCCCUAAUGCACUAAUUAUGCAGCCUGGAAGCUUAUAGAGACUUAUAUUGAGGUUCAGAUAGAUAUAAGAAGGUAGUCUAUAUUCUUGUCUGAAUUAGUUUUUCAAGCAUUGUUUGUGUCUAUAAAAAUGAGUAAGUGUGAUGCUGAAGGCAGCUCCUUAAAAGGGGUUCACCAAUGCCUUCACUAACCUGGGCAGGGAUAUAAUUGCACAGAAACAGACAGUUUAUCUAACUGGGAUAUAUAUUUUCAAACAGGAAGGUAUCAGACAGAGCUAACAAAAGGCAUUUUAAACUUCCUAAAAGGAAAGGUACAAAAGCUAUGACUCUUUUAUUUUAUACCCAUGUGAAUAAUACUACUGUCUAUCCAAUUAUUAAAUAGCCAGUUAUCAUUCACCUGUUUCUGGAUCUUCAUAUGAUUGAAGACAACCGAUCAAUAAUAUUUUAGGAAAAACAUGAAUCACCAAAAGACAUACAAUGAACACAAAAUUUGUAUUUUAAUCCCCAAAAUUUCUAGUCUGAAUAAACCAAGUGAGUAGUGAGUGAAUAACUCCAGCACUCAUGAUUUUUUUUAAACAAGGUAUUAAAUCUAUUAACGUAAAAUUCAUUUAAACUGUAUUGCUACAACUUUUUUAGAAAUGUUUAUUUACCAUUUAAUUUUUAUUCAUUUUUCAAAUGUCAAUUUGCACUUUUUCUUUAUUCUCCUAUGAUGUAUGAUUUAAUUAAAUGAGCAACUCUUUUUAUCUAUUUUGUGGCUUCCAUUACAGUAGCACACAAGUGCCUCUCUGUGCAGAGUUCAUCCAUGCAAACAAACAAUAUUCAUUCAAUUCAGUUUUGAAAUUGAUACAUGUGGAAACAGAUUCAUCUGCAGUGUGGUACCAGAAGCCCUCAGGUCCUGGCUUAUGUGCCUCAAUCACAGAAUAACAGAAUCACAGAAUGGCCUGGGUUGGAAGGAACCUCAAGGAUCAUGACUCUCCAACUCCCCUGCCACAGGCAGGGCCACUACCCUCCCCAUUUAAUACCAGACAAGG